GAUGAACGCUGGCGGCGUGCCUAAUACAUGCAAGUCGAGCGAACGGACGAGAAGCUUGCUUCUCUGAUGUUAGCGGCGGACGGGUGAGUAACACGUGGAUAACCUACCUAUAAGACUGGGAUAACUUCGGGAAACCGGCGCUAAUACCGGAUAAUAUUUUGAACCGCAUGGUUCAAAAGUGAAAGACGGUCUUGCUGUCACUUAUAGAUGGUUCCGCGCUGCAUUAGCUAGUUGGUAAGGUAACGGCUUACCAAGGCAACGAUGCAUAGCCGACCUGAGAGGGGGAUAGGCCACACUGGAACUGAGACACGGUCAAGACGCCUAAGAGAGGCAGCAGUAGGGAAUCUUCCGCAAUGGGCGAAAGCAUGACGGAGCAACGCCGCGUGAGUGAUGAAGGUCUUCGGAUCGUAAAAAUCUGUUAUUAGGGAAGAACAGAUGUGGAAGUAACUGUGCACAUCGUGACGGUACCGAAUCAGAAAGCCACGGCUAACUACGUG
rnacentral:rRNA from 1 species